UCCUACGGGAGGCAGCAGUAGGGAAUCUUCCGCAAUGGGCGAAAGCCUGACGGAGCGACGCCGCGUGAGCGAAGAAGGCCUUCGGGUCGUAAAGCUCUGUUGUGAGGGAAGAAGGAGCGCCGUUCGAAUAGGGCGGUACGGUGACGGUACCUCACGAGAAAGCCCCGGCUAACUACGUGCCAGCAGCCGCGGUAAUAA
rnacentral:rRNA from 1 species